UACGAAGGGGGCUAGCGUUGCUCGGAAUUACUGGGCGUAAAGGGCGCGUAGGCGGUUCUAUAAGUCAGGCGUGAAAUUCCUGGGCUUAACCUGGGGGCUGCGCUUGAGACUGUGGGACUUGAGGUCAGAAGAGGGUCGUGGAAUUCCCAGUGUAGAGGUGAAAUUCGUAGAUAUUGGGAAGAGCACCGGUGGCGAAGGCGGCGACCUGGUCUGAUACUGACGCUGAGGCGCGACAGCGUGGGGAGCAAACAGG
rnacentral:rRNA from 1 species